AGUCGAGCGAACGGACGAGAAGCUUGCUUCUCUGAUGUUAGCGGCGGACGGGUGAGUAACACGUGGAUAACCUACCUAUAAGACUGGGAUAACUUCGGGAAACCGGAGCUAAUACCGGAUAAUAUUUUGAACCGCAUGGUUCAAAAGUGAAAGACGGUCUUGCUGUCACUUAUAGAUGGAUCCGCGCUGCAUUAGCUAGUUGGUAAGGUAACGGCUUACCAAGGCAACGAUGCAUAGCCGACCUGAGAGGGUGAUCGGCCACACUGGAACUGAGACACGGUCCAGACUCCUACGGGAGGCAGCAGUAGGAAAUCUUCCGCAAUGGGCGAAAGCCUGACGGAGCAACGCCGCGUGAGUGAUGAAGGUCUUCGGAUCGUAAAACUCUGUUAUUAGGGAAGAACAUAUGUGUAAGUAACUGUGCACAUCUUGACGGUACCUAAUCAGAAAGCCACGGCUAACUACGUGCCAGCAGCCGCGGUAAUACGUAGGUGGCAAGCGUUAUCCGGAAUUAUUGGGCGUAAAGCGCGCGUAGGCGGUUUUUUAAGUCUGAUGUGAAAGCCCACGGCUCAACCGUGGAGGGUCAUUGGAAACUGGAAAACUUGAGUGCAGAAGAGGAAAGUGGAAUUCCAUGUGUAGCGGUGAAAUGCGCAGAGAUAUGGAGGAACACCAGUGGCGAAGGCGACUUUCUGGUCUGUAACUGACGCUGAUGUGCGAAA
rnacentral:rRNA from 1 species